rnacentral:ncRNA from 1 species
CUUUGUACACACCGCCCGUCGCUACUACCGAUUGAAUGGUUUAGUGAGGUCCUCCGAUUGGACCCGGUCCGGGCGGCGACGUCCGAGCCGGCGUCCGAGAAGACGAUCUAACUUGAUCAUUUAGAGGAAGUAAAAGUCGUAACAAGGUUUCCGUAGGUGAACCUGCGGAAGGAUCAUUA